rnacentral:sRNA from 1 species
AGAAAUUUUUAUUUUCAUCUGCCUCAGUGGAGUGAUUAUAUAGUAUGCUAAGUAAUCUUUCAUUUCUUACAGAAGACGAUCACCUUCUCCUUAUUAUAGUCGAUAUAGAUCACGAUCAAGAUCUCGUUCCUACAGCCCAAGACGCUAUUGAUAACGGAAUGGUUGCAAUUAAGGACUUUUUUUUCCUCUUUUUUUUUUUUUUUUUUUAAUUCUGAGAUUUCCCCAAGCUUUGGAUUGUUCCUACUCCUUAAGAAAAAAACUCGUUUAUUUAGCAUCUACACUUUUGUCAAUUGUGUUGCUGUUUUCCACCCCUUUUAUAUACUCUUGAAGAUGUAAUUGUUGUCAUUUUGAGCAGUUAAACAUCUUGAGUAUAAAAAGAACGCCAAUG